UCAUGGGGCGCUCUGCGCGCACCGGACGGACGGCUCAGUAACACGUCGGUAACCUACCCUCGGGAGGGGGAUAACCCCGGGAAACUGGGGCUAAUCCCCCAUAGGCCUGAGGUACUGGAAGGUCCUCAGGCCGAAAGGGGCUCUGCCCGCCCGAGGAUGGGCCGGCGGCCGAUUAGGUAGUUGGUGGGGUAAUGGCCCACCAAGCCGAAGAUCGGUACGGGCCAUGAGAGUGGGAGCCCGGAGAUGGACACUGAGACACGGGUCCAGGCCCUACGGGGCGCAGCAGGCGCGAAACCUCCGCAAUGCGGGAAACCGCGACGGGGGGACCCCCAGUGCCGUGGCAUCGCCACGGCUUUUCCGGAGUGUAAAGAGCUCCGGGAAUAAGGGCUGGGCAAGGCCGGUGGCAGCCGCCGCGGUAAUACCGGCGGCCCGAGUGGUGGCCGCUAUUAUUGGGCCUAAAGCGUCCGUAGCCGGGCCCGUAAGUCCCUGGCGAAAUCCCACGGCUCAACCGUGGGGCUUGCUGGGGAUACUGCGGGCCUUGGGACCGGGAGAGGCGGAGGGUACCCCUGGGGUAGGGGUGAAAUCCUAUAAUCCCAGGGGGGCCGCCAGUGGCGAAGGCGCUCCGCUGGAACGGGUCCGACGGUGAGGGACGAAGGCCAGGGGAGCGAACCGGAUUAGAUACCCGGGUAGUCCUGGCUGUAAAGGAUACGGGCUAGGUGUCGGGCGAGCUUCGAGCUCGCCCGGUGCCGAAGGGAAGCCGUUAAGCCCGCCGCCUGGGGAGUACGGCCGCAAGGCUGAAACUUAAAGGAAUUGGCGGGGGAGCACUACAAGGGGUGGAGCGUGCGGCUU
rnacentral:rRNA from 1 species